UCCGCGCGCAAUGUCAUGGUGGCGCGAAACAAGCCCUUAAUAUGGCGUCCCUUCCGGGUGUUGGCCGGCUCUUUCUAAAGGGACUCUACUUCUCACUGCACACGCGCGCACUAUGUCAUAACAACGAUUGCCUCCAAUCGAAUUUCUUCAGUCAUCCUGUAUUUCGCGUUUCUGGCACAUCUCCUCAUUGGAGGAGUCAGCCAUAAGUAAAGGAAGGAAGGUAUUUCGCGUUUCGCGUUAGAUUGGUUAGGUUUUGUUAGGUCAGUAAAAUUGUGCAUUUGCGCAAUGAGGGGAACUGGCCUGAACUGAACGUAACGAAGUGAGAAAGAGAUAUAUCUCUGUUUCAACAUGUUGAGACUACUUUUAAAACACGAUUCCUCUUCCAGGAAUACCGUGACAGACAGGAGUGUAUGUACGUACCGGACGAACGCUGUGACCGUAGUUUGACACCUCAUUUCGGCAUUGAAAGGAAUAAUCAGUGUAAAUAAAUGAUUAACAAGUUAACAGUUUAUAUAGAUUAUCGGUAUCGUAAGCUUCACCGUAUGUCUUUAACGUAGUUGAUAGUGUUUGUCCAUAGGCAACUGAGAACUUCCUGAUCUUGUACAAUUGUACGUACAUCAUAAUACAAAAAUUAAAUUAUACAAACUUACCUCUAAUAACGGAAUGAGUAGAUGAAUUUUAGAAAAAUUAGGCGCAUGUGAAUUUAUUUAAAUUAUUUUUACGAGGAUAUAUUAUAAAUAAUAACUAUGCACGGUACGUUCCAAAAUGUACUAUAAGUACUACGAGUAUUGUGACUCAUCCAUUGCAUGCAGCUGAACAGGGAACACUGCGAUCAUGUUGCGAUGAAUGAUAUCAUCAGAAUAUGAUGUGAUUCUCAUCAUUACAAUAUAAGUAAAGAAGUUGCUUAUCCAUUCGUGCAUAACAGUGCGUAAUGAAUUUCAAGUGCGUUAUUUACAUAUAUUUGACAAGGAAACGUUUUUGGUAAUGACGACUUCAAAAAUAAGAGACAAGGUUAAGACUUGAUUUGUUUUAUGAAAAUAAAAUUAUGUACCAAUGUGAUUAGAAACGAAAUGUCCAUAGGUACCCUAUCCACACUAUCGAGUUUCACCGUAUUUAUUAAUUCUUUGUACAACGAGCUCCGUUAUGAAAAGUAACUAUUCGUUACGAAUUAAUAUAACUAAUGGUAAACGGUAAAAAUAUAUUAUAAUAAUGUAAAA